AAGUAUUAUUGGACCAAAAAUUCCAAUCUAUAAACAAUCAUUCGUAGCUAAACCCUCUGAAAUGAAAUGGUCUAAGUUAUGACAUGAAAGCACAAGUGGUAAAAAACAAGAAAAAGAAAUCUAUAGCCAAUCCAUUGCACUGUGAUUCCUUACCAAGAAUACAAAAGUAAAUGAAUAUGUUGACUAGCAAAGCUAGCAACUUCAACAAAUAUGGCAACUAAUCCAGCAUCUUAAACUUAUAAAUCAACGCCUUGACUGGUGCAGGCGAGGCCUGUUACAGAACAUGCGACCAUUGGCCUUCACAAGUGCAGCUAUGGCCAAACUUAUGCUUGCCCAAAUCAGUGAAAAUAAUAAGUUCCAAACAUCAUUCCGAACUCUCCCCAGUGACAAGGUAGCAAAAAAUAAGCCAGUCAAAAUCAG
rnacentral:misc_RNA from 1 species